rnacentral:rRNA from 1 species
CUUUUUGGAGAGUUUGAUCCUGGCUCAGGACGAACGCUGGCGGCGUGCCUAAUACAUGCAAGUCGAGCGAAUCUGAUAGGAGCUUGCUCCUU